rnacentral:rRNA from 1 species
GACGAACGCUGGCGGCGUGCUUAACACAUGCAAGUCGAACGGAAAGGCCCCUUUGGGGGUACUCGAGUGGCGAACGGGUGAGUAACACGUGAGUAACCUGCCCUUGACUUCGGGAUAACUUCAGGAAACUGGGGCUAAUACCGGAUAGGAAUCCUUGCUGCAUGGUGGGGGUUGGAAAGCUUCGGCGGUUUUGGAUGGACUCGCGGCUUAUCAGCUUGUUGGUGGGGUAGUGGCUUACCAAGGCUUUGACGGGUAGCCGGCCUGAGAGGGCGACCGGCCACAUUGGGACUGAGAUACGGCCCAGACUCCUACGGGAGGCAGCAGUGGGGAAUAUUGCACAAUGGGCGGAAGCCUGAUGCAGCAACGCCGCGUGCGGGAUGACGGCCUUCGGGUUGUAAACCGCUUUCAGCAGGGGCGAAGCUUUUGUGACGGUACCUGCUGAAGAAGCACCGGCUAACUACGUG